AGAGUUUGAUCCUGGCUCAGGAUGAACGCUAGCGACAGGCUUAACACAUGCAAGUCGAGGGGUAACGUGUUGGAAGCUUGCUUCCGAUGACGACGACCGGCGGAUGGGUGCGUAACGCGUAUGCAACUUGCCUCACAGUGGAGAAUAACCCGGAGAAAUCCGGACUAAUGUUCCAUACACUCUUAAGUACGCCUGUACAUGAGAGGAAAGAUUUAUCGCUGUGAGAUAGGCAUGCGUCCUAUUAGGUAGUUGGUGAGGUAACGGCUCACCAAGCCGACGAUAGGUAGGGGUGCUGAGAGGCAGAUCCCCCACAUUGGGACUGAGACACGGCCCAAACUCCUACGGGAGGCAGCAGUGAGGAAUAUUGGUCAAUGGGCGUAAGCCUGAACCAGCCAAGUCGCGUGAGGGAUGAAGGUUCUAUGGAUCGUAAACCUCUUUUAUAAGGGAAUAAAGUGCGGGACGUGUCCCGUUUUGUAUGUACCUUAUGAAUAAGGAUCGGCUAACUCCGUGCCAGCAGCCGCGGUAAUACGGAGGAUCCGAGCGUUAUCCGGAUUUAUUGGGUUUAAAGGGUGCGUAGGCGGCCUUUUAAGUCAGCGGUGAAAGUCUGUGGCUCAACCAUAGAAUUGCCGUUGAAACUGGGGGGCUUGAGUAUGUUUGAGGCAGGCGGAAUGCGUGGUGUAGCGGUGAAAUGCAUAGAUAUCACGCAGAACUCCGAUUGCGAAGGCAGCUUACUAAACUAUAACUGACACUGAAGCACGAAAGCGUGGGGAUCAAACAGGAUUAGAAACCCUUGUAGUCCGGCUGACUGACUAGAUAGGACAGGAUCU
rnacentral:rRNA from 1 species